UAGGUCACAUAACACAUUGCAUAUCGAACGGUAACAGGAAGCAGCUUGCUGCUUCGCUGACGAGUGGCGGACGGGUGAGUAAUGUCUGGGAAACUGCCUGAUGGAGGGGGAUAACUACUGGAAACGGUGGCUAAUACCGCAUAACGUCGCAAGACCCAAAGAGGGGGACCUUCGGGGCCCUCUUGCCAUCAGAUGUGCCCAGAUGGGAUUAGCUUGUUGGUGAGGUAACGGCUCACCAAGGCGACGAUCCCUAGCUGGUCUGAGAGGAUGACCAGCCACACUGGAACUGAGACACGGUCCAGACUCCUACGGGAGGCAGCAGUGGGGAAUAUUGCACAAUGGGCGCAAGCCUGAUGCAGCCAUGCCGCGUGUAUGAAGAAGGCCUUCGGGUUGUAAAGUACUUUCAGCGGGGAGGAAGGUGUUGUGGUUAAUAACCGCAGCAAUUGACGUUACCCGCAGAAGAAGCACCGGCUAACUCCGUGCCAGCAGCCGCGGUAAUACGGAGGGUGCAAGCGUUAAUCGGAAUUACUGGGCGUAAAGCGCACGCAGGCGGUCUGUCAAGUCGGAUGUGAAAUCCCGGGGCUCACCUGGGAACUGCAUUCGAAACUGGCAGGCUUGAGUCUUGUAGAGGGGGGUAGAAUCCAGGUGUAGCGGUGAAAUGCGUAGAGAUCUGGAGGAAUACCNGUGCGANGGG
rnacentral:rRNA from 1 species